AUACGGAGGGUCCGAGCGUUAUCCGGAAUCAUUGGGUUUAAAGGGUCCGUAGGCGGGAAUCUAAGUCAGUGGUGAAAUCUUGCAGCUCAACUGUAAAAUUGCCAUUGAUACUGGAUUUCUUGAAUUAGUGUGAAGUGGUUAGAAUGUGUAGUGUAGCGGUGAAAUGCAUAGAUAUUACGCAGAAUACCAAUUGCGAAGGCAGAUCACUAACACUAUAUUGACGCUAAGGGACGAAAGCGUGGGGAGCGAACAGGAUUAGAAACCCGAGUAGUCC
rnacentral:rRNA from 1 species